rnacentral:rRNA from 1 species
UAGGGAAUCUUCGGCAAUGGGGGGAACCCUGACCGAGCAACGCCGCGUGAGUGAAGAAGGUUUUCGGAUCGUAAAGCUCUGUUGUUAAGGAAGAACGAGUGUGAGAAUGGAAAGUUCAUGCUGUGACGGUACUUAACCAGAAAGGGACGGCUAAUUACGUGCCAGCAGCCGCGGUAAUACGUAAGGUCCGAGCGUUGUCCGGAAUCAUUGGGCGUAAAGGGUACGUAGGCGGGUAAGCAAGUUAGAAGUGAAAUCCUAUAGCUCAACUAUAGUAAGCUUUUAAAACUGCUCAUCUUGAGGUAUGGAAGGGAAAGUGGAAUUCCUAGUGUAGCGGUGAAAUGCGCAGAUAUUAGGAGGAAUACCGGUGGCGAAGGCGACUUUCUGGCCAUAGCCUGACGCUGAGGUACGAAAGCGUGGGUAGCAAACAGG